rnacentral:rRNA from 1 species
GACAGAGGAUGCAAGCGUUAUCCGGAAUGAUUGGGCGUAAAGCGUCUGUAGGUGGCUUUUUAAGUCCGCCGUCAAAUCCCAGGGCUCAACCCUGGACAGGCGGUGGAACUACCAAGCUGGAGUACGGUAGGGCAGAGGGAAUUCCGGUGGAGCGGUGAAAUGCGUAGAGAUCGGAAAGAACACCAACGGCGAAAGCACUCUGCUGGCCGACACUGACACUGAGAGACGAAAGCUAGGGGAGCGAAUGG